rnacentral:rRNA from 1 species
UUAAUAAGUCAGUGGUGANNUCUCGGGGCUCAACCUUGAAACUGCCAUUGAUACUGUUAGACUUGAAUACAGUUGGAGUAGGCGGAAUGUGUAGUGUAGCGGUGAAAUGCUUAGAUAUUACACAGAACACCGAUAGCGAAGGCAGCUUACUAAACUGUGAUUGACGCUCAUGAACGAAAGCGUGGGGAGCGAACAGGAUUAGAUACCCUGGUAGUCCACGCCGUAAACUAUGAUUACUCGAUAUUGGCGAUAUACGGUCAGUGUCUAAGCGAAAGUGA